rnacentral:rRNA from 1 species
UACGUAUGGAGCAAGCGUUAUCCGGAUUUACUGGGCGUAAAGCGCGCGUAGGCGGAUCAUCAAGUCGGGGGUGAAAUCCCGGGGCUCAACCCCGGAAUGGCCUUCGAGACUGGUGGUCUUGAGUUCGAGAGAGGUCAGUGGAAUUCCGAGUGUAGAGGUGAAAUUCGUAGAUAUUCGGAAGAACACCAGUGGCGAAGGCGGCUGACUGGACAUGUAUUGACGCUGAGGUGCGAAAGCGUGGGGAGCAAACAGG